rnacentral:tRNA from 1 species
GCCCAGGUGGCUCAGUCGGUUGAGCAUUUGACUUUGGCUCAGGUUGUGAUCUCACAGUCCGUAAGUUCAAGCCCCGCACUGGGCU